rnacentral:rRNA from 1 species
CCCCUAGAUGUUCUGGGCCGCACGCGCGCUACACUGAACAGUUCAACAAGUCUUAACCUUGGCCGAUAGGUCUGGGUAAUCUUUGAACGCUGUUCGUGAUUGGGAUAGACCUUUGCAAUUAUGGGUCUUCAACGAGGAAUUCCUAGUAAACGCAAGUCAUCAGCUUGCAUUGAUUACGUCCCUGCCCUUUGUACACACCGCCCGUCGCACCUACCGAUUGAAUGGUCCGGUGAAAUCUCGGGACGGCGGCUUGGUCGCUUGCGUCCGACUGCUGAAACUUGAUUAAACCAUAUCAUUUAGAGGAAGGUGAANCCGUAACA